rnacentral:rRNA from 1 species
AUUGAACGCUGGCGGCAGGCUUAACACAUGCAAGUCGAGCGGGGUGAUGGUGCUUGCACUAUCACUUAGCGGCGGACGGGUGAGUAAUGCUUAGGAAUCUGCCUAUUAGUGGGGGACAAUAUCUCGAAAGGGAUGCUAAUACCGCAUCCGACCUACGGGAGAAAGCAGGGGAUCACUUGUGACCUUGCGCUAAUAGAUGCGGCUAAGUCGGAUUAGCUAGUUGGUGGGGUAAAGGCCUACCAAGGCGACGAUCUGUAGCGGGUCUGAGAGGAUGAUCCGCCACACUGGGACUGAGACACGGCCCAGACUCCUACGGGAGGCAGCAGUGGGGAAUAUUGGACAAUGGGGGGAACCCUGAUCCAGCCAUGCCGCGUGUGUGAAGAAGGCCUUAUGGUUGUAAAGCACUUUAAGCGAGGAGGAGGCUCUUUUGGUUAAUACCCAAGAUGAGUGGACGUUACUCGCAGAAUAAGCACCGGCUAACUCUGUGCCAGCAGCCGCGGUAA